rnacentral:rRNA from 3 species
GUUGUGAUUUCAUUAAUCGCUUCGGAGCGCGGGCGGUCGCGGCCGUUAAAUCUUUUAUAAGGUUGACCUCGGAUCAGGUAGGGAUACCCGCUGAACUUAAGCAUAUCAAUA